CAGCCGCGGUAAUACGGAGGGUGCGAGCGUUAAUCGGAAUGACUGGGCGUAAAGGGCACGCAGGCGGUGACUUAAGUGAGAUGUGAAAGCCCCGAGCUUAACUUGGGAAUUGCAUUUCAUACUGGGUGGCUAGAGUAUUUUAGGGAGGGGUAGAAUUCCACGUGUAGCGGUGAAAUGCGUAGAGAUGUGGAGGAAUACCGAAGGCGAAGGCAGCCCCUUGGGAAAAUACUGACGCUCAUGUGCGAAAGCGUGGGG
rnacentral:rRNA from 1 species